rnacentral:tRNA from 1 species
AGGGGCUUAGCUCAGUUGGUAGAGCGGCGGUCUCCAAAACCGCAGGUCGUCGGUUCGAUUCCGGCAGCCCCUG